rnacentral:rRNA from 1 species
AACCUCCGCAAUGUGAGAAAUCGCGACGGGGGGAUCCCAAGUGCCAUUCUUAACGGGAUGGCUUUUCAUUAGUGUAAAGAGCUUUUGGAAUAAGAGCUGGGCAAGACCGGUGCCAGCCGCCGCGGUAACACCGGCAGCUCUAGUGGUAGCAAUUUUUAUUGGGCCUAAAGCGUCCGUAGCCGGUUUAAUAAGUCUCUGGUGAAAUCCUGCAGCUUAACUGUGGGAAUUGCUGGAGAUACUAUUAGACUUGAGACCGGAGAGGUUGGAGGUACUCCCAGGGUAGAGGUGAAAUUCUGUAAUCCUGGGAGGACCGCCUGUUGCGAAGGCGUCUAACUGGAACGGUUCUGACGGUGAGGGACGAAAGUUAGGGGCGCGAACCGGAUUAGAUACCCGGGUAGUCCUAACUGUAAACGAUGCGGACUUGGUGUUGGGUGGCUUUGAGCUGCUUCAGUGCCGAAGGGAAGCUGUAGUCCGCGCCUGGAGUACGUCGCAAGACUGAACUUAAAGGAAUU